UACUAAGUAUGGUCAGAGGUCACCAUUGC
rnacentral:piRNA from 1 species